rnacentral:rRNA from 1 species
CUCUAAGGAGACUGCCGGUGACAAACCGGAGGAAGGUGGGGAUGACGUCAAGUCAUCAUGGCCCUUACGACCAGGGCUACCACGUGCUACAAUGGUAAGAACAACGGGAAGCAAAACUGCGAAGUCAAGCCAAUCCCUAAAACUUAUCGUAGUCCGGAUUGGAGUCUGCAACUCG